rnacentral:tRNA from 1 species
UCCCCCGUAGCUCAGCAGGGAGAGCGCCACCUUGACAGGGUGGAGGUCGUGAGCUCGAGCCUCUCCGGGGUCA